UACGUAGGGGGCAAGCGUUAUCCGGAUUUACUGGGUGUAAAGGGAGCGUAGACGGCGAUGCAAGCCAGAUGUGAAAGCCCGUGGCUCAACCCCGGGACUGCAUUUGGAACUGUAUAGCUAGAGUGUCGGAGAGGCAGGCGGAAUUCCUAGUGUAGCGGUGAAAUGCGUAGAUAUUAGGAGGAACACCAGUGGCGAAGGCGGCCUGCUGGACGAUGACUGACGUUGAGGCUCGAAAGCGUGGGGAGCAAACAGG
rnacentral:rRNA from 1 species